AAACAAUUUAAAAUGGCGGCGUUAUGUAAUAGUCUGGAGCAAAAUUUGUCGUGUUAUAAAUUUGUUAAAAGCUUAGUUAUCGGAAUUGUCCUCUGCCAUUUUGCCGGAACGAGCAUAACAACAGAAGGUGCAAACAGGGUUGAUGUCUGUCCACGAAACAGAACGGAAUGGCAGGAGGCUUCCAGACGACUUAACUGCUUAGAUGACAUUCGAAAUCCUGUAAACAGAUACCACUGUCUACCUGUCCACACCUUAUCUACCUUGCUUGAGUUCUGUUAUAACCAAACCAGACCUCGCGUUGUCAGUGGAAGCUGCAUGAUUUAUGUACAAGAAAUAAAUAUCCUAAAUGGUUACAACUGUGAGACGUUUGAUGAAGGAUGUCCAAACGCCAGCUACUUCAGUGAUGAAACAUAUCUAUUUCCAUACUGUACAGCUAUUGAUCCCGUUCGACACUGCUACGUUGCUGAAUCUUCUUGCCAGUUAACUACAAUUUUUUCAACUGAUAAAUCAUCUAUUAAGACAGUUUUAUUUAAUGAAACUUCUGCUUUAUCAACUACUGAAGCGAGUGAAAGAGAAGAAAAUUCAGCUGCAUUAAAUAUUGUCUUACCCACAAGUGCGGUAUUUCUUGUAAUAGUUGUAAUUCUGGUCUGUGUAUUAUUGAAACAGAGAAGUGGAAAUCUGCAUUUUCCGAGAGAUAAUAUGAAGGGAGAAAACAACCGUUUGCUUGAUGAAACCAUCGACACCGAAAUUUGCAGAUUAAAGCUUGAUUAUCUUUUGGGAGAGUUGACGAAUGUUUCAAGUAAAUUUUCUCAGAUAGCCACAAAAUUAAAUAUUCCUCCUGAAAUUCUGUCAUGGUCAAAGGACAAUAGGAGACGAUUUGUAGAUAGCAUGAAAGCUGGACAAAUGGAAGAGUAAUGGUAAUAGGAUGUGCUGAAGCAGGAAAAACAACUCUUGUAAAGAAACUAAAAGGAGAAAAAGAUCUUAGUACAGAGUCAACAAGUGGAAUAGAAAUACAUUCCCAUGUCUUCAAGCUGCAUGCAAAUGAGUCAACCAUUAUAGCUUGUAAAGAACAAGAUAAGGACAAAGGAUGCUUAUGUCUAACUCCAACGACACUUGUCCAACAAGGUAAAACUUCCCCUGGGAUGUCGGCAGAAACGCAAACAGUUUCUUUGAGCGACAUAGAGCUUAAAAAACAACAGAAAACAGCUGAACCAAAGACGAGCAUUCAUGUAACUUUAUUAAUGAGUGAUAAUAAAGUUGACAUACGUGACGAAGGAAGGAAAGACAUAGUCAACGAAGAAGCAGUGUUACCUUCUGACCGCCUUAGUGUCUAUUCAAGGGCAUCUAUAGAAGUGGGUAGUGACGACGCCAUUGAGAUUGAUAGAAAGUCAGAAGAAGAAGUUGAUUUUAAAAGUUGUUUGGCCACCGUAAACGAAGACAGUUUAAAGAUGAUUAGUCUUCUUGAUUUUGCUGGACAAAGUGCUUAUUACGCAUGCCAUCACAUUUUCUUCAGUCCGCGGGCGUUUUAUAUCCUCGUGGUUGACAUGUCAAAAGACUUGGAUGACUUAGCAACACAGGCUUGCAAUGACAAAGAUCUUAUUUACAGCAGCUGGACGUAUGCAGAUUAUGUGCGAUAUUGGCUUGGAUCCAUUCAUACCUAUAGUUCUAAAACAGCACCUGUUAUUUUAGUUGCAUCACAUUCAGAAAAUGUAAAAGAAGACCCCAAAAGAGAGGCAAUUCUGUCAUACUAUUUAAAGAUCUGCGGAUGUCUUACCCCAAAACUUCUAGAUCAUAUUGAUAAAGAGCGGGUGUUUUUUGUAGAAAAAGAUUCAAACAAAAACAUCGAAAAAUUAAAAGAAUGCAUAGCUUCAACAUUAAAAAAACAGAACCACUGGGGUGAAAAUGUCCCAAUCGCUUGGACCAAACUUGAAUCUUUUUUAAAGAAGAAAAAGGAAGUCACGAGAGCUUGCCUUUUUUCAAAUUUGCAAGAUGAUGUUCAGAAGGAAGAUAACCAACUUUGGAAUAGCAGACAUGAUCUGAUAACUGCACUGAAGUUUUUUCAUGAUACCGGAGUGAUUCUGUUCCGAAAAGAAAUAGAAAACGUUAUUAUUCUAGACGUACAGUGGUUUGUUGAUGCAUUUAAAAACAUUAUUAUGGACGAAAGACACAAC
rnacentral:misc_RNA from 1 species